rnacentral:piRNA from 1 species
GACCAGGAAGUGCGAACUCAGAC